rnacentral:rRNA from 1 species
CAGCAGCCACGGUAAUACGGAGGGUGCAAGCGUUAAUCGGAAUUACUGGGCGUAAAGCGCACGCAGGCGGUCUGACAAGUCAGAUGUGAAAUCCCCGGGCUUAACCUGGGAACUGCAUUUGAAACUGUCAGGCUGGAGUCUUGUAGAGGGGGGUGGAAUUCCAGGUGUAGCGGUGAAAUGCGUAGUGAUCUGGAGGAAUACCGGUGGCGAAGGCGGCCCCCUGGACAAAGACUGACGCUCAGGUGCGAAAGCGUGGGGAGCAAACAGGAUUAGAUACCCGUGUAGUCCCUGUCUCUUAUAC